UACGGAGGGUGCAAGCGUUAUCCGGAUUUACUGGGUUUAAAGGGUGCGUAGGCGGGCAGGUAAGUCAGUGGUGAAAUCUUCGAGCUUAACUCGGAAACUGCCUUUGAUACUAUCUGUCUUGAAUAUUGUGGAGGUAAGCGGAAUAUGUCAUGUAGCGGUGAAAUGCUUAGAUAUGACAUAGAACACCAAUUGCGAAGGCAGCUGGCUACACAAUUAUUGACACUGAGGCACGAAAGCGUGGGGAUCAAACAGG
rnacentral:rRNA from 1 species